rnacentral:piRNA from 1 species
UUUAAGAAGGUGUCUAGGGAU